UGGGGAAUAUUGCACAAUGGGCGCAAGCCUGAUGCAGCCAUGCCGCGUGUAUGAAGAAGGCCUUCGGGUUGUAAAGUACUUUCAGCGGGGAGGAAGGGAGUAAAGUUAAUACCUUUGCUCAUUGACGUUACCCGCAGAAGAAGCACCGGCUAACUCCGUGCCAGCAGCCGCGGUAAUACGGAGGGUGCAAGCGUUAAUCGGAAUUACUGGGCGUAAAGCGCACGCAGGCGGUUUGUUAAGUCAGAUGUGAAAUCCCCGGGCUCAACCUGGGAACUGCAUCUGAAACUGGCAAGCUUGAGUCUCGUAGAGGGGGGUAGAAUUCCAGGUGUAGCGGUGAAAUGCGUAGAGAUCUGGAGGAAUACCGGUGGCGAAGGCGGCCCCCUGGACGAAGACUGACGCUCAGGUGCGAAAGCGUGGGGAGCAAACAGG
rnacentral:rRNA from 1 species